UACGUAGGGCGCAAGCGUUGUCCGGAAUUAUUGGGCGUAAAGAGCUCGUAGGCGGCUUGUCACGUCGAAUGUGAAAACCCGGGGCUCAACUCCGGGCCUGCAUUCGAUACGGGCGGACUAGAGUUCGGUAGGGGAGACUGGAAUUCCUGGUGUAGCGGUGAAAUGCGCAGAUAUCAGGAGGAACACCGGUGGCGAAGGCGGGUCUCUGGGCCGAUACUGACGCUGAGGAGCGAAAGCGUGGGGAGCGAACAGG
rnacentral:rRNA from 1 species